rnacentral:rRNA from 1 species
AGGAAGUAAAAGUCGUAACAAGGUCUCCGUAGUUGAACCUGCGGAGGGAUCAUUA